rnacentral:snoRNA from 1 species
GCAACUUCUACCCAUUGGUUGGUCAAAUUAAUUUAUUUUGAUACGACUAAGAUUCAAAGUUUGCUAGAUCAAUUAACGUGACUUACCGUGUGAUUGGGCUUUACUUUGAUAGCUAUUCACAGAAGUAGAAGCGUAACA